GCAUUGGUGGAGUAGGAAUUAACUCGCUUCUCUCACAUAUAGGCCUUGCGGCUUAGAUAGGGAUGGAAGAAACCCGGGUGCGAGUCCCGGCCAAUGCA